GCUGGCAUUAUUGGCAUUAGAUCACUGAAGAGUAAAUAAAGUGAGCAAGAAUACUCUCUUGUCACCAGAUUACUGAGGUGUACUGGAGGAACAAUCAUGAAGUUUAAGAAGAAAGAAUACUGUCAGAAAAGAGGCAAUUUUUUUUAUAUUUAAAAAGUUCCCUUUUUCCAGUCUAUUCAUUUUUAUGCAUCAACUCUCAUUUUAUCUUGACAAUUUCAUAAUAACUAUAUUUACCUUUAUUUUUUAUCCAUAUGCAUUUCAUUUAAAAGUGAAAACUUUCACUCAAAAUGUAAAAAGAACUUAUAGAAUUUGCCUCCAAAGAGCUCUACUAGUCUGUCUUUCCUAUUUCAUCCAAUGUUACGACUACAAUUCCCAUCUAUCAAACACAGCAGUCAAUUGGUAAGUCAUUUAUGUCUCUUUUUAUACUAUUUUUCAUGAAGUUUCUUUAUUUUCCAGUUCUAUUGUAUGUCACCUCAAAUAUCCAUACAACACAUUAUUUUAAUCUCCUUCCCUCUAAGCAUUCCUGUUCCACUUAAUCUAACACAAUGUUCUCAAAGAUAUGACAAAGUGCAACUCUGUUAAAAAAGCUUCAAAGACUUUCCACUGAACUGAACAGAAUUAGAAUAGAUGAUUAUUUCAGUCAUGUGUUGGUAUAUAACAAAAUACCCCAAUCACCUAUUCUUCCUCCUCUUAAAGUCAAUGUAUUAUUAAAACGUCCAACUUCCUUUUAUGAAAUAUUUCACACAUACCCAAAACUGAAAAAUAAUUGAUACAGCAACAUAACCAGAAACAAGAUUAUAAGAAAUUCUACAAGGGAUAACUACAGGCUAAAAUUGUUUAGCAUCCCCUUGUAUAUUUCUCUAUUUUUAAGUACAGGUCUGUGUAUAGAAUAUUUUAUACCGUAUAUGGUAGUGUUUGUAUCUUCAAAUUUAAAUAAGAUGUUAUUGUUUUCUCUGUAUUAUUUCAACACAUGCUUUAUAAUCUCACUAUGAUAUUUUUGAGAACCAUUCCAGCUGAUACUUGGGUAUCUGUUUUUGUUUAAUUUCUAUAUGGGAUUUCAUUAUAUAUAUAAUAUAAAGCUAUCAAUUUUCAUAUCAGGAAAUAUUGGCAUUUUUAUAUUUACCAUUGUAAAUGUUAAAAACAAAGCUACAAUAAAUACUUAUUGUUUUGUUGUUUAUAUAUAUUAGAAUUUUCAUAGGAUACACAUAGAGCAGGGAAAUUUUACAACUUUGGGCACUUUCAUCCUUACAUUGUCAAGUAGCUUUCCAAAGUCGUUGUAUGAAUUUAUCUUCCCACUAUAUAAUUGUUAGAGUUCCUGUUUUCUAAUAGCCUCAUCAAAGAGGAGAAUUUCUCAAGUAUUAAGCAGUAAAGUAAAAAAAAAGUCAUCGUUCUACAAAUUCAAUUUUACUAAAUAAAAUAUAUUUUAUAUUUUCUUUAAAAGUGAUACAAGAUGUCUUUCACAUUUGAAGUUAAUGUGAUGAUAGAAUACAAUUUACAAUUUUUCUAUAUGUUAAUCAAAUGUAUCACUGCUAUUUUAUGAAUAGUUAUUCAUUUUUCUGGGUGAUACGACAAUUCAUAUGUAAAAUAUCGAAAGUCUACCAUGAAUUUUUGAAUUUCCUGCUAUAGUCCAGUGAACAAAUUGUUCAUCUCUGAGUCAAUGCCGCACUAUCAUAAUGACUAUAAUUCAUAAUCAAUUCUUAUUGAAUAUCUGCUCAGUGCCAGUAUAUGAGUUUGCUGGAUCUGUUAUGACAAAUUACCACAAACCUAAAUGUUUAAAGCAAAAGAAAUAUAUUCUCUUACAGUUCUGUAGGGCAGAAAUCUGAAAUAAAGGUAUAGAUAGGCCCACUUUCCUUCUCAAGUGUUUAUGGGUGGAUCCUACUUUACCUCUUUCAGCUGCUGGUGGCUCAAGGCAUUCUUUGGUUUGUAGCUGCAUAACUCCAAUCUCUGCUUCCAUCCUCAAGUAGCCUUCUUCUAUUUCCUGUAUCUUCUCCUCUUCUGUCUUUCAUAAGAACACUUAUUGGAUUUAGGGUGCACUAGGAUCAUCCAGUAUGACGUCAUCUCAAGAUCCUUAUUAAUAUAUACAAAAAAAUUAGGUCACAUCUACAGUUUCUGUGGGCUAGCAUAUGGAAAGAUAUGUGCAUAUUUAUCAUAUUUUGGGAGGCACCAUUGAAUCUACUAGAGACAAACAUCUACAUUUAGGAUAUUAAAGAAAAAAAUCCUUGCCUUUGUAAAGAUUACAGUGAGAUGUAGGAUGACACAAAAGAAAUAAAAUAUAGACAGGUGUUGAAAAGUUAUAUAUUUUGUGAAGAAAAUAAAGUAAGGCAGGAUACACAGUAAUAGUGGCAGAUUACAAUUUUAAUUAAUGUAUUCAGUAAGUAACAUUGUAAAAAUAGCAUUGAAAUAAACACAUCAAAAGGCUGAGGGAAGAAAAAGAAUAUAGUUUUUCUCUACAUCCCAAAUUACUUCUGAUUGAAUGUUUUUACUGGGAUCUGUUUCUGGGAGAGACUAAGAGAGUGACUAACUUUGGAUAGAUUCUGAAUGUAGAGCAAGCAGAAAGACUCGCUGAAAGGUGGGAUGUGCAAUUCUUGACAAAGAAAAUAAGUAGGAUUGACUCUAAGAUUUUUGCUUUGAGACAAAUGGUCGUAGGUGAGAAUGUGCAUUUCAAAGUUGAGAUGUUUAUUAGCUUCUCAAAAGAAGACAGCAUAAGAAGUUGGAUGUAAGAGCCUGGCAUUUAGAAGAGAAGUAAGAGGUAGAGGUACAAAUUUGCAAGUUCUUAGCAUAAACAAUAUUGUAAACCAUGGCUCUGUGAGAACUCAUCAAGGGAGUGGGGGUGGACACAGAAGUGUUCCAAAGACUAAGAAAUAGCAUACAAAGACAUAAGAAGAAAGCCAAGAGGACGUGUUCUGGAAGCCAAAGAAAAAAAGCUGGGUUUUUUUGUUUGUUUGUUUAUGUGUUUUUGUUUGUUUGUUUUUUAAUUAAAGAAAAAGAGACUACUGAUAGAUCAAUAAAAUGAGAAUAAAAAAUUAACCUUUAAAUUUUGGAACAUGAAAAUAAUUAGUGAUUUGAAAGGAACAUUUAAUUGAAAUGGUCAAUACUUUUCUAGUAUUUUAAUUGUAACUCAUGCCUCACUUUGUUACCCAGGUUGGACUGGACUCCUGGCCUCACAUUUUCAAAUAAUUAAUGCUUAUUUAGAUUUACCCUUACAUUUAACAGGUUUACAGUUGCCACUUGCUUCUCACACUUGUCUUUUUUAGUGUUUUCUUUUUUCUUUCUUUGUUACUUUAAAAAGGGUUGUUCAAUGAAUCCAUGAGUGCGCUUUCUUAAAAUUUUGUAGACCCAAAAAGUCUCAGCACUGUGUAUAGUAUUCUAUCUUGCACUGUAUAUUUUGCAUUUGGAACUUGGUAUGCCAUUGCAUUAUUGUAUUAGUUUUUCAGUGAACUAGCUUCUUUUUAAAAUAUUCACCAAAUCAGUGUUCUUUCUAGUUUGGAUUUAUUUUUAUCAAUUCUGUUCAGAACUUGUCCAAUUCCUGAAUGUGAAAAUUUUUUUUCUUUAAUGACUUAUAGAAAAUUUCCAGUUAUUACCUCUAGAUAUUGCCUCAAUACCAUCUUAAAUGCACCCAAAGUAUCUAAUAUAAUAAUAAUUUUUGUCCAUCUUGCUCUAUAUUGAUAACUUUAUUUCUCUGUGAUAUAUAUUUAUUAUAUUAAUUUUAAUCAUCCAUAUCUCAUAGGUUUUUAAAUUCAAUUACUAUAUUUUUAUUUUUGGAUAUCCUUUGCCAAAUCUGCUCUUCAUUUCUUUUUAAAUGUCUUUAGUGUUUAUGUAUGUUCAUUACAUAUUAUUAAUUUUAUAAUUUUUUUCAAAUUAUUCAUCUAUUUUUACACAUACUUUUAAUUCUGCUGUUUUACAUCUGCUGACUCUUAUUGCUGGUUUUUUGUUUUUUUUUUUUGAGACAGAGUCUCACUUUGUUGCCCAAGCUGGGUUGCAAUGGUGCAAUAUCAGCUUGCUGCAACUUCCGCCUCCCAGGUUCAAGCAAUUCUCCUAUUUCAGCCUCCCAAAUAUCUGGGAUUAUAGGCGCCUGCCACCAUGCCUGGCUAAUUUUUUGUAUUUUUAGUAGAGACGGGGUUUUGCCAUGUUGGCCUGGCUGGUCCUGAACUCCUGACCUCAGGUGAUCCACCCGCCUCAGCCUCUGAAAUUGUUGGGAUUACGGGCGUGAGCCACCGCGCCUGGCAUGUAUAUCAUUUUUCAUUGUGUAUUUUGUAAUUUUUGUUUGUGAAUUUAUUUUUAAUAUAGUUUUCAAUUUAACUUGUUAGUUUCUGUAGUGGCAAAUCCUUGUGUUUGCAAUAUUGGAUUAUUUCUCCAUAAGAGUUUCACAUUUCUUCUGCUAGGAAAUCCAUGGGGAAUAUUGGAAUUGGGCUAGUUUUUAUUUUAUUUCUAAUGUUUAAAGUUUCUGAAAAAUAUUGGCGUCAAAAAAUUCUACUUCAAUCCUGAGUAAAGAAUAAAGUGCUAGUGACAAAUUCCCAGUUGUGUUUUCCUUUCUUAAUAUUUGAGAGCCACAGCAAAUGUUGCAUACCCUUUGAUGUUAAGCAGAAACUUUUGUCUAGACAUUGACUUCAGGCUUUAAAAUAUGUAGUAUCUCCCCCAGAUUAAAGGUAACUAGUCCCUGAUUUCUAUUAAAAUAUAAUUUUUAGAAGCUUAAAAUCAUAGCUUUCAGACAAAUAUAAAAUGAAUAGGUUUUAAAGAUAUUAACUUGAAUUAAUAAAUAACAAAUAGAUGUUUUAAAUGACACAAAGGGAAUCUGAGAAACUGGGACAUUUAGAAGCAAUUUAGCAAAAUAACAUUAAGAUUGCUUGGUUAAAUAAAUAAAUAUAGAUUGAUAUAUAACAGUGUCAUAAAUCUGUGAGGUUAUCUGUUCUACUAAGGAGAUAUAUUUGUAUCUUUACAGGAAAAAAAAAUUCAUGGUGCAAAAUCCCUUUACUAAAUCUGGUACCUUUAAUUAUUAUUGUAUAGCACUUAAGUAUAGGAACUUGAAUAUAGCCAAUAUAUUCCUAAAGAUCUAAAUUACUCUCCAAAUAAAAUGCUUUUUGUACAUAAUUUUUUCUAUUCCCAUUAAUUAUCUUUCACAGUUUUAUUUUGUUUUGAUUUUUUCAUUUGUUCCUUCCCCCUCCCCUUGGCAUUCAGUUAAUUCUUCUAUUUUAUUUCCCAAACAGGCACAUUAUCAUUAAAUGUAAUGGUUGGCUGAAUCAUAACCACAUUUAAAUAUUGCUCUGUUUUGCCAUUUGUUUUUCUUCCUUCUUUCUUUCCUUUCUUCGUUCUUGCUUUUCUUGGCAAGCUUAUGAAGUUUUAUUUGUGUAAUUGCUACACAAAGAAACUUCAUUGUGUUUGUAUUUGCCCUUCAAUUGGAUCAUAAAUGCCUUGGUGGCAAUGAAUGUACAUAGCUAUUUCUGCAUCCUAAGUAGCAUAUAUGUAGGUUUUGAAUACAGGAUUGAUAAAUGUUUGUCUUGUGAAAUUAAAAUAAUUACUGAUGUCUACAUAUUGUUUCCAGCUUGCUUCUCUGUUGUUUCCUCUUUAGAUAUGCUAGAUAACCACUUCAAUAUGAUUCUUCUUAUGUAAAACCUCAUAUAUUCUCAAAAGUAUUAUGUAUGCAUUCAACUAACUGUACAUCUACAGUACAGUAAAAAAUGAGAUUGUAGUAAGUGAAAAUGCAUUUAUAAGUAUAGGCAAAUUUUUAGGCAAGACACCUCAUAAAGAUCACUUUAGAAAUUAGAUCAAGUAAAAAUAAGUCACAAAAAGAAACGUGAAUUAGUCAUCUUAAACAUUGUUUUAGGCAGUAAAACAACAUUGAAAAAAGAGGAUCUUGUAAAGCCUGAUACUUGAUUCCUAUAGGAUAACUGAAUCAAAUCAGGUGUUUUAGAGGUAAUGGUCACCUGAUUGUUUUCUCUUGAGUUUUUUCAUAUAAUAGGUGCAGUGGUUCUUGCAAUGAGGAAUUUUUUUAUGGAAAUGUGAAAUAAAGUACAGAAAUUCCUAAUGAAAACCUGUCUUUUAAGUGGAUCUCUAAAUUCUAAGAAAGUGCUUAUAUUAUCUUAGUUAUUUAGCUAUUAGCCUGUCAAUCAUUAGGAAAGUAAGAGCAAUUUACAAAGCAUCUACCACUGUGCUAGUACUUGCUCACAUGUUCUCAUCCACCUAAGGGAAUAUUCAAAGCAUCUUAAUAGUUGCUACUAAUUCAUAUAAUUUAAUUAAUAGAAUAGCAAAUACAUUCUCAUCUUAUUUCACAUUUUUAACAUACACAAGAUAUAGCUAUUUUAUAGUGAUUAGGUUUAGUAAAAAUAACACUGAUAAAACUCAACUGUUAGCAUGUACAGUUUUAGGCUACGUAUUUUUCAAAACAACAAAAUAUAAUUUUUUUAGACUCAACUUGAAAUUUUGUAAAAAAUAAAGUUUCAGAAAUAGUAAACUAUCACAGAACAAGAAGCAUAAUAGAAAGUAGAAAUUGUUUUACUAUAAAAAAUACUAUAAAUAAAAGGGCUAAAUGUUUCUUAAUAUUCGUAUACUGAUACCAAAUAUUAGAUGCCUUGAGUCACUAAAUUAAAUUGUCCCUAAAUAUUACAUUUAUUAUUUAAAAUGUUAAUGUUGCUUACAAACCUCAACAGAUAUUUUUGCCAACUUAUAGAUGGGAGAAUUUAAAAAGAUGUUGGUGUUUUUAAAAAUAGCUUUUAGAAAAGCAACAAAGUGAUUUUAUGUCUGGAGGUGAAGACCCUUGGAGGAAUUUUUCUCAUGGACUGUCAAAAUAUAUACCCAAACCAUAAGUGGAUGUCUGAAUAAUAACUCAUUUACUUUUAUUUGAUUUGUCAGGUUUUAUUUUUCAAAACAAGAGUCAGAAUAAGUGAUGUCUUUUAGUUGGACUUGUUUCUAUUGUUUAUUAACAUAUCCAAGGAACACGUAGAAUGAAUUGGCAGAAUAUAAUCAUAUUAUCAAAUAAUUAUUAGUUUAGUCAGUUUCAUAAACCUAGAUAAUCAAAUGAAAAUACAUAAUAAUAUAAUUAUGUCAUAAUUUUUAUCAAAAUUUUAAAAUUAAUGAAUUAAAUCCAGCUACCAAAGAUAAGGGUUUGUGAAAAGUAGAUACAAUACUAGAGUGGAGGUUGUAAUGAAAACUCAGAAUGGGCUAUAGUAUUAAAAAAAAAUAAAGACCUCCAGUAUUUUUUUUUCUCAAAAUGGCAGAUUAGAGUCAUUGUUAGCAUGCCUCUCCUAUUUGGAAAGACAGAAUUGUGUGUGGAGAUUCACACUGUAAAUUUUUUCCAAGAAGCAACACAGAAAAUUAACAGGAAAACUGAAAGAAAGCACAGACUUUUUGAAAGAAGUGUCAGGUUGCUGUCUAAAAUCAUGAGCCAGGAGGAAAACUUUAAGUCCCUAGAAUGUCAGAUAGGGAUAAACUGCCUCUAGGACAUAUACUCCUACUGGGGAACCAAGCAAUCCAGGCCACAGGGAAAGGCCUUAAUCCCACCCAGCGCUGGAGCUGAUUUAGUGAGCAGUGGGGCAUAUAUGAGAAGUAGCAGCAUGGGGACGGGCUUAGUGUGCAUGCCCAGCAGGACAGAGGAAAGCCAUCCCUGAUCCUAUCUCACAGGGGACCUCACAGAAGUCAGCCAGGUAACUCAGGCAGUGGUCACAGGUUGAGAGAAGCUCUCAACUGAGAUUCGUGAUAUAAUCUCGAGUGGAGACAAACCCCCUUGGUCAGAACCAUGGGGCAGAUGGGAAAUGUGCUGCAGCCAUAGGUGCAAGAGCUGGGUGCCCCUGCUUCAUGGGCCAACUAGGAGAGGCGUGACCUGGAAGCCAUGGUUGCAGUCUCUUCUGGGAAGUCUUAUGCCCUUGGGCAGUGUUGAGUUCUGAGUGUUGACUGCUUGGAACCAAGCUGCUGCGAGUGGGACACUGCAGGUGCAAGACCUGCUUUGCCAAGUGUGUGGGAGCUGAGUGGGGCUAACUGCUGCCUGCUGCUCCCUAUUCCUCAUACAGAUGCUUCUCUGCAGCAGAGGCAGCUGUGGUACUCCCUGCAACAUUACUCCUACAGCCAGAGGACCACUAUCUGAUCCCCACUGGGGACAGUGCUUUUGCCCACACAUGGCAGACAAAAGAGAGCUAGAAUGUGAACUUGCCUGAUUCAGCCCCCAGCUGGCUUUGCCCCUCCAUCUGCCCUGGUAGCUUAACACAAAGAAUAGAAAAUUUUGAGAGCUCAAUGGCCCUGCCCAUUGCCUGAGUCAUCAGCUUACCUCCCCUGCGUAACAUAAGGCAAGCACAAAUCCCACUGCUACCAGCUGGUGCUCUUUUUCAAGUGCCACCUUGUGGCUGGAGGCCUACUGACACAAUCCAUUACAGCAUCUGCAGGCACACUAACAGUGCACAGGAAAGAGAAAACUUGUGUGUGACCUAAGCUGUCACCUUUGCCUAUAUAACCUUGGCUUACUAGGAGGUCCUGAGUCUGUCCAUGCGACCAGUUCAUCACUACUACAGGUGGCAUUACAGAAAAACCAAUGCACCAAGACUACUUAUAAUCAAGAAAUCUCACAGAGUCUAUGUCAUUCUCCUGUCACCCCCAUGAGAGCUGUUGUUGCUACUCACUACAGAGUCUUGAGAACAGGUCACAUCACUGGACCCCUUGUAGACAUUCCCCAGCACCAACCUGGAGUGUGGCAGUCCCACUAGGUGGCUAGAGCCAGAGAAGUAGCAGCAUUCAUACUAGUCUGGCCCUCAGGGACUCCUACUCUUAGGAUAAGGGGGAGUGCACAUCAGUGGCACACCCCAUGGAAAAAAGAAUCUAGAUGGCAGGACUUGAGUCCAGAACUUCCCACCUGUGGAAAGUUUCUUUCAGUAGAGGCACAGGUACAGUGCUGGACUUGGGAAAAUCUACAGAACGGUCUUGAAGAAAAAGAUUUCCCCCCUCAUUCACCACUGCAGACACAGCUGGUGCUUCUCUUAUGGGAAUUUAGCAUGAGUGGACCUGUAGAUAGCCUUUCUGGAACACUUCAAGUUAACUGCGUCCCCAGAGGAGGAGUCCCCUCCAGAUUCAGAUUUGCAUAAGGCAUAGAAUCACAAUCUCUCUCUACUUGGAACAUGAGAAUUCCUGCAAAUAAAAAGGGCCUGCUAAUCUGAAUAGCUAGAACUGUAUUUAGGAGUGUGACCUGCUUUCCUGGGGGCCUGGCAAGGGAGCUGAAGUGGCUCCCUCCCUUCCCCGUGAAAAGACCUCAGUGCAUUUCACUAAGAGCUCCCACAGAUGCCUUGGUCAAGGCUUGGGCUUCUUCCCACCAUUGGGUAUUGCAUUUACCAAUCUGCUGGUUUUCACUCAGGGACACCUCCCCUACUGGCCUGAAAUCUGAAUUAUUCAACCAGGUAAAGAAAACACUGGGAGAAAAAAAAAGGCAAAAAAGUGCACACCACUUGGGAACUAGAUAAGCUUCAUGAGACCUCUGCCAUUGCUACCCCACAGGAAACAGUGAACCUCCACACACACACUGAGCAUAAUGUUACCACAACUAGCAUCUGAGAAAGCCAACAUACAAACAUUUUAAAUAACCAGGGAACUUAUACAGUCUUCACCCCUGAAAGCACCCAGAGCUGAAUUAGGUUACAAUAAACUAUAAACAUUAAAGUCACAUCCUCAAAGUGAAAAAAAAAA